rnacentral:rRNA from 1 species
UGCAGUCGAGCGGUUGAGGGGAGCUUGCUUCCCGAUUCAGCGGCGGACGGGUGAGUAAUGCCUAGGAAUCUGCCUGGUAGUGGGGGACAACGUUUCGAAAGGAACGCUAAUACCGCAUACGUCCUACGGGAGAAAGCAGGGGACCUUCGGGCCUUGCGCUAUCAGAUGAGCCUAGGUCGGAUUAGCUAGUUGGUGGGGUAAAGGCUCACCAAGGCGACGAUCCGUAACUGGUCUGAGAGGAUGAUCAGUCACACUGGAACUGAGACACGGUCCAGACUCCUACGGGAGGCAGCAGUGGGGAAUAUUGGACAAUGGGCGAAAGCCUGAUCCAGCCAUGCCGCGUGUGUGAAGAAGGUCUUCGGAUUGUAAAGCACUUUAAGUUGGGAGGAAGGGCAUUAACCUAAUACGUUGAUGUUUUGACGUUACCGACAGAAUAAGCACCGGCUAACUCUGUGCCAGCAGCCGCGGUAAUACAGAGGGUGCAAGCGUUAAUCGGAAUUACUGGGCGUAAAGCGCGCGUAGGUGGUUUGUUAAGUUGAAUGUGAAAUCCCCGGGCUCAACCUGGGAACUGCAUCCAAAACUGGCAAGCUAGAGUAGGGUAGAGGGUGGUGGAAUUUCCUGUGUAGCGGUGAAAUGCGUAGAUAUAGGAAGGAACACCAGUGGCGAAGGCGACCACCUGGACUCAUACUGACACUGAGGUGCGAAAGCGUGGGGAGCAAACAGGAUUAGAUACC